rnacentral:rRNA from 1 species
UACGGGGGGGGCAAGCGUUGUUCGGAAUUACUGGGCGUAAAGGGCUCGUAGGUGGCCAACUAAGUCAGACGUGAAAUCCCUCGGCUUAACCGGGGAACUGCGUCUGAUACUGGAUGGCUUGAGUUUGGGAGAGGGACGCGGAAUUCCAGGUGUAGCGGUGAAAUGCGUAGAUAUCUGGAGGAAUACCGGUGGCGAAGGCGGCGUCCUGGACCAACACUGACACUGAGGAGCGAAAGCCAGGGGAGCAAACGGG